rnacentral:rRNA from 1 species
AGAGCUUGCUCUCGGGUGACGAGCGGCGGACGGGUGAGUAUUGUCUGGGAAACUGCCUGAUGGAGGGGGAUAACUACUGGAAACGGUAGCUAAUACCGCAUAACGUCGCAAGACCAAAGUGGGGGACCUUCGGGCCUCAUGCCAUCAGAUGUGCCCAGAUGGGAUUAGCUAGUAGGUGGGGUAACGGCUCACCUAGGCGACGAUCCCUAGCUGGUCUGAGAGGAUGACCAGCCACACUGGAACUGAGACACGGUCCAGACUCCUACGGGAGGCAGCAGUGGGGAAUAUUGCACAAUGGGCGCAAGCCUGAUGCAGCCAUGCCGCGUGUAUGAAGAAGGCCUUCGGGUUGUAAAGUACUUUCAGCGGGGAGGAAGGCGAUAAGGUUAAUAACCUUGUCGAUUGACGUUACCCGCAGAAGAAGCACCGGCUAACUCCGUGCCAGCAGCCGCGGUAAUACGGAGGGUGCAAGCGUUAAUCGGAAUUACUGGGCGUAAAGCGCACGCAGGCGGUCUGUCAAGUCGGAUGUGAAAUCCCCGGGCUCAACCUGGGAACUGCAUUCGAAACUGGCAGGCUAGAGUCUUGUAGAGGGGGGUAGAAUUCCAGGUGUAGCGGUGAAAUGCGUAGAGAUCUGGAGGAAUACCGGUGGCGAAGGCGGCCCCCUGGACAAAGACUGACGCUCAGGUGCGAAAGCGUGGGGAUCAAACAGGAUUAGAUACCCUGGUAGUCCACGCCGCAAACGAUGUCGAUUUGGAGGUUGUGCCCUUGAAGUGU